AUCACACCCCAGUGUCACCCAGAUGAGGAUGGGUUCCCCCUUGGGUCCGGUUCCUCUCAAGUCAGGUUCCAUGAACCCUGGGUGCAGCAGCAGCGGAAGAUUAGACCCAGGUGAGGACCUCUCCCCUCCACUGCCACCGCUCGCCAAGAUCUCCACCCGGAACUACUUUGCCCCCUUUCGUGAGAUGGAACGCUAGAGAUUACUAGAGACUCCAUCACCAACCACGUCCUUGCUACUGUGUCUAAAGGUAAGGUGGGCACUCGUUAUUUGGAGCUUGUGUUCUUGAUGUCGCUGCACAGGCACCUGGGACCCUGAGCUAGAACAUGGAAUGACACCAGCCUGAGACAGUCAGAGAUCCUAAAGAGGGACUUCAAGAUCCUGGUAGAGACAGCAGGUUCACUGUCUCGAAGCACAUCGCUCACGACAAGGAUCAUUGCGCAUCAUGUCUGGACCACUUCCCACUGGAAGUGUUCUAGGCUCUUACGUGCUGAUGGCCUGCACCCCAACAGAGUUGAAGCAGAAAUCCUCUCGGACAAUCUACACAGCACACCAUCUGACUGGCAUCCUAAGAUUGUAGCUCCAGUUGUAUUCCGUGUCAUGAAGCUUUUGUUGAAACUCUAACAUCAUUGAGAUGAGGCCUACCCUGUGAGGAUCCUGAGGGAUCUGGAGAUGUACCAUCUCCAGUUGGAUUUUGCCUCAUGACGUAUUCUAAAAGGAGAUGCCAACUCCAUGUGGUCUUUGAGGACAACAACCUCCUAAUCAAUACACAAUUGCCAGACUGUAUGUUUAUAGUCACACCCUCCAGUGUCACCCAAAUGAGGAUGAGGUUCCCAUUUGAGUCUGGUUCCUCUCAAGGUUUCUUCCUUUUCCAUCUACGGGUGUUUUUUCUUGCUAUAGUCGCCUCAGUCACCUCAGGCUUGCUCAUUGGGGAUAAAUACAAACACAUUUAAAUAUAAGUCUUUUAUAAGUCUCAAAUAUAAGAUAUUAAUCUUUGUAUAAUAAUAAACUUUUUGUAUUAUGUUUCUUAUGUGCUGUAAAACUGCUUUGAUAGACUGUCCAUUGUUAAAAGUGCUAUAAAUUUACAAAUAAAUUUGAAUUGAAUUGAAUUGAAUUAUUGCUGGGUUCAGCCAUGUUUCAGUGAAGUAGAGGAGGCUGCAGUCCUGAAUGUCCCUCUGGAAAUUUACCCUGGCCCUGAGGUCAUCAAGCUUGUUCUCCUGAGACUGGGCAUUGGUGAACAGAAUGCUAGGCAGGGGAGCAAAGUGUGCACAUGCCCACAGCCUGUUCCUGAGACCAAUGUUCCGGAGAAUUCAGUUUCCCUGCUUCACCUUUAGCAAGCAUUUGUGGAAAAACUUCAUGAUUUGCAUUGAUUAUUGCAGUGCAUGCAUUAUCAUGUACUUUGUAAUUUUCAUCAAAAUAAGGUAUAUUUCAUGUUCUUUGUUUGAUAGUAUUACUUAAUCUUUAGUCAAAUACUUGAUAAUUAAAGAUUUCUCUUUGCUUUUUUUUGAGUCUGUAACAACUAGAAUUAAGGUGUCAAAUAUAAGUAACUAAUAUAUUCAACAUUCUCCUGUUGAGUUAUUGGGGGGGGGGCAACAUGAAGU